UACGUAGGGGGGCUAGCGUUGUCCGGAAUCAUUGGGCGUAAAGCGCGCGUAGGCGGCCCGGUAAGUCCGCUGUGAAAGUCAAAGGCUCAACCUUUGAAUGUCAGCGGAUACUGCCGGGCUAGAGUCCGGAAGAGGCGAGUGGAAUUCCUGGUGUAGCGGUGGAAUGCGCAGAUAUCAGGAGGAACACCAACGGCGAAGGCAGCUUCUGGGACGGUACUGACGCUGAGGCGCGAAAGCGUGGGGGAGCGAACAGG
rnacentral:rRNA from 1 species